UUACAAUCUACCUGUAUAUAGCCUUAUAUAUGUAUAACCACGGUAACACUGUGGCUAAUACAAGCGUGAGUGAGGCACAGCGUUGAUCGCGUUCUAAACUUUUAGCGACAAGGUCGUUAGAAAGAGUCUAUUGUAGUCAUCUCGCAUAGUGUAGUUUGCUAACUGAUAAAACCCAACAAAUCCCAAGGGAUGAGGGUAUAACUAAUGAGUUUCUGAGCCAUCAACCUAAGAUGGUGGGGUAACGGCCUACCAUGGUUGUGACGGCUAACGGGGAAUCUGGGUUCGGUUCCGGAGAGGGGGCCUGAGAGAUGGCCACCACAUCCAAGGAAGGCAGCAGGCGCGAAAAUUACCCACUUCCGGCGCGGAGAGGUAGUGACUAGUCAUAACAAAUAUAGACCCUAGUGGUUUGUAUUUGGACUGGUGAGAUGUUAUAAAUAUCUCAGUAAUCUAGAUCAGGGCAAGUCUGGUGCCAGCAGCCGCGGUAAUACCAGCCUGAUCAAGCGUAUGCUUUAGUUGCUGCGUUUAAAAAGCUCAUAGUUGGAUCUUCGACAGCGUGAUCAUCAAAGGGCGUAGUUCGGUUACGGUCGUUCUAUUCCUGGUCACGGACUGCUCACUAUACUUGUAAGACAGUUUAUUCUUAACUGAAUAGACUGAUCGAAAACAAGUGAUAAACCUUGAAAAAAUUAGAGUGCUCAAAGCAAGCUUUGGCCUUGAAUUUUAAAGCAUGGAAUUGAGGAAGAGGACCAUUAUGGUCGUGAACCAUUUUGGUAAUGAUUAAAAGGAACAGACGGGGGCAUACGUAUUGCUCGGGGAGGGGUGAAAUCCGUAGAUCCCAGCAAGACGACCUACUGCGAAAGCAUUUGCCAAGAAUGUUUUCAUUAAUCAAGAACGAAAGUUAGAGUAUUAAAGAGGAUUAGAUACCCUCGUAAUUCUAACCUUAAACGAUACCACCCUAAUCUUAGCCAAUGUAAUUUAUUACUUGGUUAGGAUUAAACCGGGAAACCAAAGCCAUUUGGUUCCGGGGGGAGUAUGGUUGCAAAAUCGAAACUUAAAGGAAUUGACGGAGGGGCACCACCAGGAGUGGAGCCUGCGGCUUAAUUUGACUCAACACGGGGAAACCUACCAGGUCCAGACAUCUCAAGGAUUGACAGAUAGAAUCUCUUUCAUGAUUAGAUGGGCGGUGGUGCAUGGCCGUUCUUAGUUAGUGGAGUGAUUCGUCUGGUUAAUUCCGAUAACUAACGAGUUCUCUUCCAUCUAACUAGUAGAUGACACUUAUUGUGUUGUCAAGACUUCUUAGAGGAACUAAGUACAAUUAAAUAGUACUAGUGAAGUGAGAUUAUAACAGGUCUGUGAUGCCCUUAGAUGUCCUGGACCGCACGCGCGCUACAAUGCUUGCUUUAAUGUGUUGAUAACUCUCUAAGCCGAGAUGGUUUUGGGAAAUCGUUAAAAGUAUAAGGAUGUUCUUAGUGGGGAUCAACUAUUGUAACUAGUAGUUGUGAACUCGGAAUUCCUAGUACUUAGAUUUCACCAGAAUCUAGGGAUUACGUCCCUGCCCUUUGUACACACCGCCCGUCGCUACUACUGAUUGGUUGCUUAAGCGAGUAACUUGGAGGCUGCCAGCUGAUCACUUCGGUGGUCUCUGGUAUGCUGAAGAGUGUCGAGCUUAAAUGACUAGA
rnacentral:rRNA from 1 species